rnacentral:lncRNA from 10 species
GCGCGCUGCGCCCCUGCUGAGCGGCGCGGAGCUACCACGCCCUGCCAGACUCGCCCUUGGGUCCCUGUCUGACGAGCUCUAGGCAAUCUGCCCUCGUUCGGGACACAACCAUCGGUCUCACCCCUCAGUUUCUGCCAGAGAAAAAGGAAAAGUCACCGAGAGGCCUGACCCUGACGGGUGGGGGAGAUGCGCGUGCGGAGUAGCGGGAAGCGACUGAGGAGCGGGGAAUGGGCAGCAUUUGAAUGGAUGCGGGUGCCGCUGGCACCCGGGAAGACGCUGGGGGCCGGCGCUGUAGAGCCGGGCAUGGGCUGGGAUGUGUUUGGAUUCCAAUCCGGGCCUGACACCAGUUCAGUGACCUCGGGAAGUUCCCCAACCCUCCGGGCCUGUUUCCUCCCUCUGAAGUGGCGACAGUAGUAGAACCGACCUCGUAGGCUCAUCGGGAGGUCCUGAUGGGAGAACCCAUGCAACUUGCCACCAUAGAGCCAGGCCCGCGGCGGUUGGCGCCUGGUGGGUAUUAAAGACGAGUCGGGAAAGAAGAGCAGGUAAGAGGGUGGGGAGACUGGCCCAGUGGGUUGGGGUGUGCACCUCGGCCACGUGGAAAAGCGAGAAUGCAGAGGCCGGACGCUUAUGGACGAUGCAUAUGUGGGGCCGGAUAGAAUUGUGGCAGGCGGCGCUGGGGCUGAUGCUCCUCACCCGGAUUAUCCUCUCUAAUCCUCAGCCCUGUGAAGUGGGCACUGCCCUGAACAUUUUGUAAAUAAGGGACCCGAGGCUCAGAGAGGUGAAGUAACUUUCCAGACAGCCCAGCUCGUCAGCGGCCAGCAUUUGAAGUCACACUCCAGAGCCUGUUUUUAACAUAAUAGCCGCUGUGACCGCAUAACCAACGUGUGUGUUGAAGUGAUCAAAUAACCAUGGAGUGUCUUUGAUGUCCAGGACUUUUGAGAAAUACCGAAAAAUAUGAGGCAAGGCCCCUGCCUUCAAAGAGCUUGCAAGUUUUUGGGGGAGACUUAGGCACAAAUUAACCAACAUCUGUUGAGCACUUGCUGCUUGCCAGGACCCUGCCCUUCCCCUCGUGUCUUCCUCCCUUCCAGGACUCACCCCCUCACUUACCCUCCCCCUCACUUACCCUCCCCCUCAAUUCUCACAGCAACCCUGGGAGGUAGGCCUUAUGGUUUCUGUUUUGCAAAUGAAGAACCUGAGAUUGAAGAAGAGUAGAGAUUGGAGGAUCAGAUCCUGAGAGGUCCCAUGUGCUUUCCAAUAACAGUUCAGUAUAUUAGAAGACAGUGUGGCAUCCACGGCCAAGUACUACUAGUUGAUAGACUGGAUGCUGCUAUGGUAAUCUGCCUCAGGAAAAUGCCGGACUGUUGUUUGCAAGCUGGUUAAGUGAGCAAAUCUUGGGAAGAUUUCAAGCACACCAACAUGGCACAUGUAUACAUAUGUAACAAACCUGCACAUUGUGCACAUGUACCCUAAAACUUAAAGUGUAACAAUAAUAAAAUUUUUUUAA